UACGUAGGGGGCUAGCGUUGUCCGGAAUCAUUGGGCGUAAAGCGCGCGUAGGCGGCCCGGUAAGUCCGCUGUAAAAGUCCAGGGCUCAACCCUGGAACGCCGGUGGAUACUGUCGGGCUAGAGUCCGGAAGAGGCGAGUGGAAUUCCUGGGUGUAGCGGUGGAAUGCGCAGGAUAUCAGGAGGAACACCGAUGGCGAAGGCAGCUCGCUGGGACGGUACUGACGCUGAGGCGCGAAAGCGUGGGGAGCGAACAGG
rnacentral:rRNA from 1 species